GCUGAAUAAGCUGCUAAGAUUACUGCUGGUUUAGUGAGGGAGAUACUGACUAAAGGCAGGUGCAAAAAGAACUCCCUUCAGUGUCAAAGACAUCCUGUUGCUUUAAUCUGCUAAGACUACCCUAUCCUUCUGCGAUAUGGGGUCUGAUGUGUGGA
rnacentral:lncRNA from 1 species